ACGGGUGAGUAAUACAUCGGAACGUAUCCUGGAGUGGGGGAUAGCCCGGCGAAAGCCGGAUUAAUACCGCAUACGCUCUGAGGAGGAAAGCGGGGGACCUUCGGGCCUCGCGCUCAAGGGGCGGCCGAUGGCGGAUUAGGUAGUUGGUGGGGUAAAGGCCUACCAAGCCGACGAUCCGUAGCUGGUCUGAGAGGACGACCAGCCACACUGGGACUGAGACACGGCCCAAACUCCUACGGGAGGCAGCAGUGGGGAAUUUUGGACAAUGGGGGCAACCCUGAUCCAGCAAUGCCGCGUGUGUGAAGAAGGCCUUCGGGUUGUAAAGCACUUUUGUCCGGAAAGAAAUCAUCGGGGCCAAUACCCCUGGUGGAUGACGGUACCGGAAGAAUAAGCACCGGCUAACUACGUGCCAGCAGCCGCGGUAAUACGUAGGGUGCGAGCGUUAAUCGGAAUUACUGGGCGUAAAGCGUGCGCAGCGGUGCUGUAAGACCGAUGUGAAAUCCCCGGGCUUAACCUGGGGAACUGCAUUGCUGACUGCAUCGCUGGAGUAUGGCAGAGGGGGGGUGGGAAUUCC
rnacentral:rRNA from 1 species